rnacentral:rRNA from 1 species
GGAAGAUUAGGUCUUGGGCCACCUCCAUCCGUGUCUAUUGUACCCUGUUGCUUCGGCGGGCCCCCCGCUUGUCGGCCGCCGGGGGGGCGCCUCUGCCCCCCGGGCCCGUGCCCGCCGGAGACCCCAACACGAACCCUGUCUGAAAGCGUGCAGUCUGAGUCGAUUGUUUGCAAUCAGUUAAAACUUUCAACAAUGGAUCUCUUGGUUCCGGCAUCGAUGAAGAACGCAGCGAAGUGCGAUAACUAAUGUGAAUUGCAUAAUUCAAUGAAUCAUCGAGUCUUUGAACGCACAUUGCGCCCCCUGGUAUUCCGGGGGGCAUGCCUGUCCGAGCGUCAUUGCUGCCCUCAAGCCCGGCUUGUGUGUUGGGUCACCGUCCCCUCUCUCCGGGGGGACGGGCCCGAAAGGCAUUAUCGACUACCUCGACCGAUCCACAAGCGUAUGGAACUUUGUCACAUGCUCUGUAUGAUUGGCAGGCGCCUGCCACACAUUUUCCUGCCCUUCUUUCCAGGUUAACCUCAGAUAACGUAGGGAUACCCGCUGAACUAUAGAAUAUCGCUACUCGCAGGAAGAAUUAAGCCCGGGCUUUCACUUUCAAUAUGGUCUGAUGAGUCUCACUAUGAAAGCGAUAUACUGAUCUUCCAGUAUAACUGAGUAAUAAUGCACCAAAAUACCUUUUAAAUCCUAACAUGGGCCUUUUACUUCGGACUUUUAUCAAUUCUGUCAAAAAAUUUUCUUCAGUCCCCACUUACCCAAUGACUACUGGGUUGGAAUCUUAAAUCCAAUCUAAGAGCCUUGCAAACCUCUAGGGGUA